GAUGAACGCUGGCGGUGUGCCUAAUACAUGCAAGUCGAACGGUAACGCGGGGCAACCUGGCGACGAGUGGCGAACGGGUGAGUAAUGCAUCGGAACGUACCCAGUUGUGGGGGAUAGCUCGGCGAAAGCCGGAUUCAUACCGCAUACGACCUACGGGUGAAAGCGGGGGAUCGCAAGACCUCGCGCAGUUGGAGCGGCCGAUGUCAGAGUAGGUUGUUGGUGGGGUAAAGGCUCACCAAGCCGACGAUGUGUAGCUGGUCUGAGAGGACGACCAGCCACACUGGGAAUGAGACACGGCCCAGACUCCUACGGGAGGCAGCAGUGGGGAAUUUUGGACAAUGGGGGCAACCCUGAUCCAGCCAUGCCGCGUGCGGGAAGAAGGCCUUCGGGUUGUAAACCGCUUUUGUCGGGGAAGAAAUACUCCGGGCUAAUACCCUGGAAGGAUGACGGUACCCGAAGAAUAAGCACCGGCUAACUACGUGCCAGCCGCCGCCGUAA
rnacentral:rRNA from 1 species